rnacentral:misc_RNA from 1 species
CAACCCUCAAGCUUCUGCUUGGUAUUGGGCUUUCGUCCGCCUAAGGACGUGCCUGAAACUCAUUGGCAGUGGUGCCCAGCUCCCAGCGUAGUCAAUUUUUUAACCGCUCUGGAUGUUCUGGACACGACCCGCCAGAAAACCUUGGUAGCUAACGCUCCAUUUUUCUCAAG